CUGCCUUUUAAAGUCUUUUAAAAAAGUCUUUUAAAUUCCUGAAACUGUUCAUUUGAAUUAAGUAUAGCAUGUUGGACUUUGGAAACUUCAGUUAAUUGUUUGAAUGUAAUCUAUUACAGGUCUCAGAAAAGGUGGUUUCCGACUGCAUUCAGAUCCGGUCAGCUUCAAAAAAGACUUAUCUAUGUUUUAUGGAAUCAGGCUUUGGAAAAUAAGUGGUGGGUUUCAAGUUAAUCCAAGGAACCAAGAACCCUGCUGAAGGCUUGAAAAAAUGAUGUGGUUUCCUAAAAGAAAAAGAGAAGUCUUAUUCUCUGUGCAUGAAUCUUUCUCAACCACCCCUGGCAAGGAGUUAAAAGACCCUGCUGAAAAUGCCAACUCCAGGGAGAGCUCCGUGUUUUCUGUUCCAGGUAUUUUGCAUAGCUCCAAUGGUCACCAACUGCCUCUUUGCUUUUAACAGUGAUUGGUCUCCCUGAAACCUCUAGCUGCUGGUUUUGGCUCCACUUCUCAGGAUCAUCAAAACAAGUCUAAUUAAUUUUCUAUGCCAUGGCCUUUCAACCUUUCAGUUCUGUUUUUUCUGGUAAAUCCUUCCCAGUUUCUUGGGUUUUCUUCCCCAUGUGAAAUGAUGUAAGGUCUUUUAUCAUUCUGGUAGUUUUCUUUGGAAUAGUCUCUAGUUUGGCAGGAGUCUUUGGGAAUGUGGUACCUGAAUUGAACUUAACACAUUAAGUGUGGUUUGAUCAGCAUGAAUUAGAGUGAGACAAUCACCUCUUUCCAUUUGGACUUCAUUAACGAAGGCUGAAGUCUCAUUAACUCCUGGACAUCUCUUUACACAGUGGACUUCUAGUGAGCAUGAGGUCAAUGAAAACUCACAAGUCAUGUUUAUUCAUGCAUUUCUUAUCCUACACUUAAACUUCUUUUAAACUAAGGACAUGACAUUACCUUUUUGUAUGAUAUAUUUCAUCAGUCAGGUUUUAGCCCAUUGUUUAGUGUGUUUUGGAUAUUGAUUCUGUCACACACCAAUUAACCAUUCCUCCACAUUUUGUUUUAUUCAACGUCUGGUCAAUCUGACAUCAAUAUCCUCAUCUGAAUUAUUAAAACACAUGGUGAAGAGGCAGAUCAGAGCCUUGUGAUGUGAUUCCAGGGAACUUUCAUCAGAAGCUGCUUUCCUCUCUCUUCUGAAAGAUAAAGCUCUCUAUAAGCCAGAAUAAACAGUUUUUUCUUAAAUUUUAGCUUUUUCCUGAAUUUUAGCUAAAAAGAGUCCUUGCAGGUGUCUAACUCCUAUGGCUUCUGCAUCUUACCUCUGUGCCUGUGGAUGAAUGUGACUCUGGGAUGAAUCACCUAGUUGUAUGUGGGUUUGUGGGUCCUGGGUGAGGUCCCUUUGGUGGUGUGUGCCUUUGGACCUCUGGAUGAAUAAUCACAACGGCUAAAUUGAUGGGACUGUGGGCCUUAGCUUUUCUUGCCAAUUUGUGAGUUCUCCAAAGGAGGGUUGGAGGGCAGCCCCACAGGAA
rnacentral:lncRNA from 1 species